CUUUUUUGUGUGAUAAGGUAACAUUUGAGAAUGUUCAUUGGUGCUGUCUUUGGCUGACAAAAGUAAUUAAUUCCAGCAUGCAUCUACCUAGUAGAAUACAAAAGUUACUUGAAAGUGUGUGUGUGUGUGUGUGCGCGCGCGCGCGCGCACGUGCAUGAAAUGAAUUUAAGCUUCCUGUGUAGAAAAUGUGAGUCAGAGUAAAGCAAUGGAUUUCCUUUGCUUCUUUAAUCCUCAACCACAGUAACAUUUUCUAAAUUGCAGGUCUCUAUAUUUUUAGGCUACCAUAAUCACUACAGUGUUAAAUCCAGAGUUUUGCACACACACUUACAUUUCACCUUCCAAAUUAAGUUUGAAUUAAGUUUUGAAUAAAUUUUGAAUUAAAUUUCAUCAGUUUUGACUGAUGAAAAUAUAAUCAAAGUUAUAUGAGCUAGACCAUAUUGUAUGUAUUUUAUGGGAAGCCUUUAUACUUCUAAUACAACUCUAGUUUAAGCGAUAGGGAAUAUUUCAUUUCAUAGGGAUAUCCCAUGCAUAAUUUUCACAAUAUGCUGCUUUAUCUGAUGUUAUCUCAAUUCAUUUUUUCCCCAGUGAAAUCUAAUAUCAGAACCUUGAACUAAGGCAGGGAGACAGUCCAAUGUAAUAAAAAGUUAUCUAAACUCUUUUGUUACAACUGUACUUCUCCCAGUGCUCCCAUUUAGUCACCAGUUGUAACACGCUUGUUGUAAACUUCAGGGUUUUUUUAAGUCUUGGUUUGAAAGUACCAGGAAGUUCAAAUCUCAUGAGUUAAUUUCAUAUCCUGCCAUAGUAAAUGGAAUCCUGUAUUGAAUCUCUUACAUACAAGAAAGGUCAGUUUCACUGUAACUAUCAUUUCUGCAUUGAAACAAGACAUUGCUUAGCUACUGGCGCAUGUGGUUUUUCACUUACAGACUUCCCUAGAAUAGUUUUUUGAGUCUUAAAGUUGAGUUCUCUUUAGUAUGAAUUGUGAUCCAGGAACAAGAGAUCUAGGUAGGUGACUCUUUUAAUCAAGAGUCAGAGAGCUCUGAGGAAUGAAUUCAGCCUCUGUUACCUCAGAGCUGUGUGGUCUACAGCAAAUUACUCAGUAUCUUUGAUCUUGAGAGUUUCCCCAUUUACUGAAUGAGGAUUUAAGGUCAUUGUGAGAAUUAUAGGAGAUAAAUUACCUGACAAAUAGUAAGCACUAAAUAAAUGACUGCUAUCAUUAUGUGUCAUUCCCACUUUAGUUUCUUCUAUUCACUCCAACCAACACACUCUUAUUCCCUUGGUACCUAAAGAAAUCUUACCUCUCUUAUAAGGUGUACCUCAAAUUCAACUUUUCUUUUGAAACUUCUCAAAAUGUCCUGAGGUGGAGGUGAUUUCUCUACCACCCGAACCUCUUCAAUACCUCUUGUAGGUAAAAGUAAAGUGAAAAGGAAUCAUUAUCUUCUUUAAAGUUCUCUGUCACACUGUUAUUUUCCUAAUUACAUACUUGGUUGUUAAAAUCCACACAUUAACCAUAGGAGCACUGAGAGCAGUACAUAGCACUGAGAGCAGAGAUUCAUGUAAGAUUUAUUUAAUAUGUGUUAAGACAAUGGAUAUGUGAGUGAGUGUAUGAAACCUGGGUCUCCUUUUUUUAAAUUUAUUAUUUAUUAAAAAAUUUUUUUUUUUUUGCUGCGUUGUGUUCGUUGCUGUGUGUGGGCUUUCUCUAGUUGUUGCAAGCAGGGGUUACUCUUCAUUGCAAUUUAAUAUAUUUAUUUUAAAAAAAAGAUUACAUCUAGUAGAAAGGAAUCCAAGUUGCAAAGGAAGAAUGAAAACUGUCACUGUUUGCAGAUGACAUGAUACUAUACACAGAAAAUCUUAAAGAUGCCACCAGAAAACUUCUAGAGCUUAUCAAUAAAUUCAGUAAAGUUGCAGGAUACAAAAUUAAUAUAUAGAAAUCUGUUGCAUUUCUGUAUACUAACAAUGAACUAUCAGAAAUAGAAAUUAAAGGAACAAUUCCAUUUACUGUAAGAGGGAAGAACAAAUCUGACUCCAUAUUGGAUGUUUCUUUUACUUUAACCUUUGUAUUUUAGUGCUUUUGCUACAAGUUAGUCACUAAAGGGAUGCUGCCUAUAGCUUGAAGUAUACAUAAUGGCCUAUUUCCGGGAACCCUGCCUCCUAUGCCUGAGCUUAAACUAAAAUACCUUUGUUUAGCUCACAGGAAACAUCCUGACCAGGCCCACCUAUGCAUGGCUGCAGGAAAGAAGAAAUUAACAUCCACCCCCUCCAGAGUCUGGCUGGAACUAGGAAAUAUUUGCAACAUCUUAUUGCCUUUUUUUUUUUAACUUUAUCUCCUCACUUCCCCCUCUUUGCUCUAUGAAAGAAACUAGCAUACAAACCCAGGCAAGAUGGUUUUUUGGAACACUAGUCUGCCAUCUUCUCUGCUGGCUUUCUGAAUAAAGUUGCUAUUCCUUGCCCAACAACUUGUCUCUUGAUUUGGUUGGCCUGUCAUGUGACGAGCAGUACGAGCUUGGGACUCAGUAAGAUUACCAGUGCAUCAAAAUGAAUGAAAUGCCUAGGAUUAAAUCUACCUAAGGAGGUGAAAGAUCUGUACUCAGAAAACUAUAAGACACUGAUGAAAGAAAUUGAAGAUGACACAAACUGUUGGUGGGAAUGUAAAUUGGUGCAGCCAGUGUGAAAAACAGUAUGGAGGAUUCUCAAAAAACUAAAAAUGGAACUACCAUAUGACCCAGCAAUUCCACUCCUGGGUAUAUAUCCAAAACAAACAAAAAAAUGAAAACACUAAUUUGAAAAGAUACAUACACUCCAAUGUUCAUAGCAGCAUUAUUUACAAUUACCAAGAUAUGGAAGCAGACUAAGUGACCAUUAACAGAUGGGUGAAUAAAGAAGAUGUGGUAUAUAUAUACAAUGGAAUACUACUCAGCCAUAAAAAAUGAAGUUUUGCCACCUGCAACAACAUGGAUGGAUUUGGAGAGUAUUAUGCUAAGUGAAAUGAGACAGAAAAAAAAUACUGUAUGAUAUCACUUAUAUGCGGAAUUUUAAAAAGAAAACUAGUGAAUAUAACAAAAAGGAAACAGACUCACAGAUAUAGAAAACAAACUAGUGGUUACCAGUGGGGAAAGGGAAGUGGUGGGGGCAAUAUAGGGAUAGGGGAUUAAGGCAUACAAACUAUUAGGUAUAAAAUAAGCUACAAGGAUAUAUUAUAUGGCAUGGGGAAUAUAGCCAAUAUUUUAUAAUAACUAUAAAUGAAGUAUAACCUUUAAAAAUUGUGAAUCCCUAUGUUGUACACCUGUAAUUUAUAUAAUAUUGUACAUCAACUGUAUCUCAAUUAAGAAAAAUUACAUUCCUGGUGAAGGUUGAAACUGCAGUUAGGUAUUAAAUCUAGGUUUGGUAUCAUGGGCUUUAGCAUAAGCAAUGCCAUUUUGGGCCUGUGUUGUUGUUGUUUUAACAGAUACAAUAUUUUAAAAUAAAAUUAGCAGGAGUGAAAAUAUAUUUCCUUUUUCACUCCAGAGUAUCUCCUAUUCAAGAGCACCAUUCAAAGCACAUAGAAACCAUAUAAAAGACUUAUUAAUUAAUGGAUUGGUUUGCUCUUUUCAGCCCCAGAUGAACACACAAAGAAAUCAUUUAUUUUUAACCUUAGUCUCAAGCAUUAGUAUCAGACAUUUUCCAUUUAUUUCCUUAAAUAUAUAAAACUGUCAUCAAAAUUGUGAUAAAAUACUUAUUUCCCUUUGUUUCUUUCCCAGGAACACUUCUUUCACUUCCAUGUCCCUUAUCUUUAGUUGGGGGAGGGGUGGUCAGGGAGGAAGAGGUCAUGAAGGUUUCCUCAAAGACUAAUGAAACAUGAAGGAUGAAAAAAUGUUUCCUGGACAGAGGAGGAGGUGAAUGAAGACUUAUAGGAGUCUUUGGGGGAGAGCUUGAUUUUGUGUUGAGAACCUGAGAGAUGAUGUAACCAAACUGGCAAGAGAGAAAACUCUAGCCUCAAGGGUUUAAUUUAUCCUUGUGAACAUUUGAAGAAGAAUAUCUUUUCACAGAAAAUUUCCCAAGCACAUCUUUCAAAAAUUGUGUUGAAUUAUUUCCAUUUCCAAGGAAACUUCUGGAAGAAUUUCAUCUUAACAGGGAAUCCUACUAGACAAGUCCAGUGGCUCCAGCAGUCACAUAGAAGAUGCCUGCUCAUCAUUCACUUGUCUGAGCAAAUUUCAUCUCAUGUAUAUUGUCUCCCUCACUGGAAUGCCAGCUCCCUGACAGCAAAGGCUCUUUUGACCUCCGUGCCUCUAGACUAGUCCUUAGAGGAGUGCCUGGUAUAUAGGAGGUAUGCUUGGCACAUGGAAAACUCAAUGCUCACUGAAUUGCUGCAUUCUGAAGAGAGAGAUUUUCCAAAAAUAACUAGUAAGUAAAUAGUGAUUAUACUCUGAAGUUUAUGCCUCAUACUAUGUUUAUAUUUAGUUUUCAUUGCCACCAUUUCCUUUCUCAUUUUUUAAUUGAAUAGACAGCUUCCCCCAUAAUGAAAGAACUAAAGAAAAAAAAACCUACAUUAACAAAUUGCCCAUUUGUUCUUUUCCUACAACGAUGCCCAACUCAGGAGCUACUUCAAUUUCUUCUUCCUGUAUCUGGUCAGAAAAAAAGAACUUUCUCAUUGUGUGUUUUCUCAUAGUACUUAAUAAUGCUGUGCUUCUAUUAUACCAUUUGCCACAGUAUAAUUACUUGUUAAUGUGUUUUUCACAUAUUCCAGAAAAGAAAGCAUUUCUUUAAAAGAUUUCCUUUUUCAAGAAAUCCCCAGCACCUUGUAGUUGAUCAAAAGCAUAUUCUGAGAUAUUACUGAAAUUCAAAAUAAUAUUCUUACAUAAUGUCUUUUAACAAGUCACAAUAAUUUAAAAAAUAUAGUAAUUUGGAAUUACCAAGUAGUUACCAGUCUUGGUUAAAUUCCUCUUACAGUCUUACUUUGGAAAAACAAAAACUGAUGGUUUGUUUUAACCUGUUGUAUUAUCUGUUCUUACUAUAUAACUUUGUCAAUGUCAUCCACUUUUCAUUGGUUGUUUUGGUCAUCUUAGUGGAUUACUCUUUCCAUUUAAUAGUUUAUAGCAUAUUAUUUUUCUGGGAGUACUCAAUAAGAUGCAUGACUCAUUUUUUUCCUGCUUUCAAAAAAUGUAUUUUCCUAUUAAAAUUCUCAAACAAAUAAUUUUGCAUAUUCAAAACCCUGGUUAGCAGUUAAUAUUUUGGUUUUACUCAAGUCUUUCAGUUAAUGUAAAAGUAAUUAUGACAUUCCUUGGGACUGGACUUUGUAGGUAUAAGAAUUACAUUUCUAUCUUCUCAAAUUCCAUGCUCAUAAGCUAAGCUAUCUAACAUAAUAAUACAUAGCACAAAAAAAUAUAUAGGGGUUUUUAAGAUGUCAAAACCCCUACAUGCCAUCAACACCUGCUCUUUGCUAGAUGUUUCACUAUUUCUGUUUACCCCAACAAACUCUUAUAUCUAGUUUGUUUUCAUGCUCUCCAUUACCAGUCAUUUCUUUUGGUUCAUUUGUAUUUAGAUCUUCAACUAUUGAUUGGAGAGCUACUACUGUAGAUGUAAACCUGAACAGAAUGAUUUCUACUUUUAAAUAGCUCAUAUGUGAAAAUAAUUACAAUACUAUUUAAUCCAAACCAUAAGAAUUUAGUUUACCCCUGAACAACGUCGGGUUUAGGGGGACUGACACCCUGUGCAAUCAGAGAAUCAGCAUGCGCUUCCUUCAUUUCAGUGGCCAGGCGUCCACGGAUUCAACCAACUGCUGGUCGUGUAGUACUGUAGCAUUUGCUAUUGAAAAUAAUCUGCAUAUAAGUGGAACUGCACAGUUCAAACCUGUGUUGUUCAGGAGUCUACUGUAUUUCUUCUGUCUGCAGGGUUCAGAGAUCUGUCACAAGCAUCUAUUGAAUGUUAAAUGUGUUCUCCAGAUAGAUGUGUUAGCUUGCAAAGGAAUGGUCAUUUUCCUUAAAAGAGAUCGAAAAUUAUGCAAGUCAGAGUAGUUGUAGAUCUUGUAGGGGAGGAAACUUUUCCCUUCUUCCCUUCUAGGUUCUUUGGCUGUUCUAAUAAUUAAAUUGACAUAAGGCAGACUAAUAGGAGAAAAGCAAAUUUAAUUUCACAUGUGCGGGAUCCCAUAAAAAUAUGAGACUCAAAGAAGUGAACAAAACAGGCAGCUUUUAUACCAUUAGGCAAGGAAACAAUACAUCUGUGAAGAACUGACAAGACAAAGGGGUUCAGGCUUGGGGUGGCAAACUGGUGAAGAAGUAACAAGGCUUAUUUAUACAGCCUUCUUGGUCCCAAAUUCUCUGUCUCUGGUGAUAAGGAUGCCUUCUACCCUUCUGGUAGAGGGAGGGUAAAUUUCGUAUGGGGGAUUUAUUUUCUGCCUUCAGGGGGGCAAAGGAAGUCACGGUGUCACUCAUAUCAGUUGUUUAAGUAACUUUAAUUUAAAAAAUUAAUAUGCUCAAGUAGCAUAUUUGGGGGUGGCAUAUUCUGCUCCCCUUCAAUAUCAAGAGAUCUUUCAUAAAUGCAAAUCUGAACAUGGUGUAUCUCUGAAAAAAAUUUAUCAAUGGCUUCUUUUAUCCAUUAAUUAACCCCCUUGGCUUGCUUAAUAAACCCUUAACCAUCUGACUUGAUAGUUCACCAGUCCUGUUUCUAAUGGUUUCCUGCACUGCGCCACCCUUAACAUACUUUGGUCACACAAAACUGUUUACAUAAUGACUAUACUCUUAUAAUUUUGUAUUUGCAUAAGCUGUUUCCUGUGCCCCAAAUCCCCUUUCUGAUUUUGUUUACCUUUGCUUUCCAACCCAUCCAACUUGUCAGAGUAGAGUUUGGGAACCCUAUCCUCUGUGCUCCCAGUUGCAUCUGAUGUCUCUCUCUCUCUCCCGCUCUCUGUGUGUGUGUAUAUAUAUAUAUAUAUAUAUAUAUAUAUAUAUAUAUGUAUGUGUGUGUUUGUGUGUGUGUAUAUAUAUAUAUAUAUACACAAAUAUGUAUAAAAUAAUCAUUUCUUCCCUGUCUUACUUCUUAAUGACCAAACAUCUUAUUCAUUUCUGUGUCUCUAAUAAGAAGUGUAUGUUAUAAAGGUUCAAGAAGUGAUUGUAAAGUAGACAAAUUUAUAUAUCAGUGUGUCAAAAUGUUUAUAUACAUAUAACAUGUGAUAUUAUAUAGAUAAAAUAUAUACUAUCUGGAUUUCAGAAAAUAUAUGAAUAUUAAACUGGAUUUUUCAAAAUUUCCUUGGAUAUUAAAUGUGAUACAGCAAUAAUAUUUUCAACACUUCCUCCUUCUGUCCAUGUCUGGUGUUUAUUCGUUUGUUUUCCUGUUAUUAGCAAGAUAAGAUUAAAGAUUUCCUUUUACUUUUUGCCAUUUUCUCUAUAUGAUUUUCUAUCCAUGUCACCACACUGUGUCAGCUCUAUGAUUGGUGUUUCAUUAGCAAUGUCCCUUGAAAAUAAUUGUUGUCAUUGGCCCCAAAGGUACACACUGAAAUUAGACCACAUCAAUAGAUUCUAGAACAUAGACAGCUUUAGAAUUAGGCUCUGCCUAUUUAUCUUUAACAGAUUGAAAAUUAAUUGAGAGUAAAAGGGAAAAAUCAGUUUUCUCCUCUAUGUCCUACAGGAGAUAUUGGGAAUCUAAAUGUUAAUUCUGGCUUUGUGUUAACAAGGAAACCUCUACUUCCUUUGAUUGUAUCUUUCUUACACAAAAAGUAAUUUUUUUUUCUUGAUUUACAUCAACUUUAAAGUAUGUUUGCCUCUGGUAACUUGUAAAUUAAAGAGCUUUUAUUGUAUUCUGGUAUCAUCACUUACUCAAUGUGUCUCUUGUUUGAACAUUUAAAUUUUAGUUAGAUUUUAUAUAUUCUCAGUUACAUUCAGUGUAGUAGUUUUGCCAUAACACCAGUUGAAAAAAGUUAGAAAAUGCCUGACCAUAUGGUCCCUUGAUGCACAACACUUAAUACAAAACUCAAAGUAAACAUUUCAAAAGUAUUUUUGGAAUCAUUACCAAAUGUUGAUGCUACAUAAUAAAGGCUAUAUGGCAACACUCCAAAUUUUAAGCAUUCUUAAAUUGAGGAGCAUUUUCAUAAUAACGGGGAAAAAAUGCUUGUAGAAAGGGGACACACUUAGGCACUAGAUUUCACUGAGUCAGCUCAAAUCAGGUGAGACCACUUUAAAUUAAAGAUGUCAUGUCCUUAAGCCUCAAGGUCAUAAAAUAUGAUUUUAGAAAUAGUAAUAUGAAUAUCUUUUAAUUAUCAAUCUUCAUUGAAACCAUUUUGGUUGUGACAGAAAGGUUUUAUUCUUGAACUUAUGUUUGUACUAGAUUAUACAUUGUAUCAAUGGUUCCUAGUUACCUAAAUUUUACCUGUAAUUUUAAUUGGUAAGUUAAUUUUCUUCUUUAGUGUUUGAAUUAUAUUGAAUAGCUAAUACACUGUACAUAGAAAGCAUACCACCAAAAAGUAAUGCACCUUAAAUUGUAUAGGCAGAAUCACAUGGAAUUUUCUCAACUUUGAUUAUAUCCAGAGAUCUCCAAGAUGUAUGCAGUUUUGCACAUUUUUUGGCCAGCUUUUUUGAGUUAUAAUUUAUAUACAAUAAAAUCUAAUAUUUGUAACAGUACAAUUACAGGAAUUUUGACAAAUAUAUACAGUCAUGAAACCUCCACUGCAAUCAUGUUGUAGAAUACUUUGGAGACACUUUUAUCACCCUAAAAAGUUCCUUAAUGUGCAUUUGCAACAAAUUCUCUCCCUGCCACUCCAGCCUUUGACAACCAUUGAUCUAUGUUGUCAUUAGAGUUUUCCUUUUCUAGGAUUUCAUGUAAAUAGAAUUUAAAAUAUACAUAAUAUAGUCUUUUAUGUUUGGUUUCUUCCACUUGGCCUAUUGCUUUUGAGAUUCAUCUAUAUUGCACAUAUCAACAGUUCUUUUUUAUGGCUGAGUAGUAUUUCAUUAUAUGAAUAUAACACAAUUUUUCUAUGUAUUAACUAUCUGAUAUAAAUCUGAACAUGUUUCCACUUUAUGGCUUUUUUGAAUAAAGCUGAUAUGAACAUUCCAGUAAAAUGAUUGCUUUAAACAUAUGUUUCCAUUUCUCUUGGGUAAACAGGCAGAGUUGGAUUGCCAAGUCAUAUGGUAAGUGUAUGUUUAACUUUAUAUGUACAGCUAAAUUGUUUCCAAAGUGGCUGUACCAUUUUGUAUUUUCACUGGAAUAUAUGAAUAUUCUAGUUGCUCCAUAUCUUCACCAAUACUUUCCAAUUUAUUAUAAAUCCAAUAUAAUCUUAAUCAAAAUCUGAACAGACUUUUUUUUUAAGAAUUGAAAGCUUAUUCUAAAAUUUAUAUGAAAAUGUAAAGAAUCAGAACAGCUAAAACAAAUUUGAAAACAUAAAUAAGAUUCGGGGGACAUAAACUACACGAUUUCAAGAGUUAUGGAGCUUUAGUAAGGCAUUUUGGUAUUAAUGUAAAGAUAGACUAAUAAAUCAGUGGAACUGUAUAGGAAAUAAAGAAAUAGACCCACAAAUAUAUGGUCACCUGAUUUUUGGCAAAUGUUACAAGCCAAUGCAAUGGAGGAAAAAUAAAUUUUUCAACAAAUGCUUCUGGAACUUAUAGGUAGUCAUAGGCAAAAACAAGUGAAUCUCAGUCCUGAUAUCAUACCAUGUAAAAAAACAUUACUCACAAGGUAUUAUAGACCUAAAUAUAAGACCUAAAACUCUAAAAUCUUGAAUAAAACAGGAGAAAAUCAUUAAGGACCUUGGCUAAGGUAAAGAUUUCUUAAAUAUGACUGCAAAAGCAAAAACUAUAUUUAAAAAAAUCAAUAAUGAGACUUCAUUAAAUUUUAUAAAAAGUAAAAAUUCAGUCCACCAACUGGGAGAAAAUAUUUGUAAAACAUAUAUCUGAUGAAGGCGGUGUAUAAGGAAUAUACAAAUAACCCUUGACACUCAGUGAAGAUAAAUGACUAAGUUUUAAAAUGGGUAAAGUAUUUAAAUAUACAUGCCACCAGAGAAGAUAUAUGUUUGGCAAAGAAGCACAUUAACAUAAAUUCAACAUUAUUGAUUAUCAGAGAAAUGAACAUUAAAAUCACAAAGAGAUAGUACGUAGUCAAUAGAAUGGGUAAAAUUAAAGGCUGACCAUACCAAGAGCUGGUGAGGAUUUGGGGCAACUGGAAGUUCUCAUACCCUGCUGGCAGGAAUGAAAAGUAGAACACCACUUUGGAAAAACAAUAGUUUGGUAGUUUCUUAAAUAGUUAAGCAUACACCUACUCUAUGACUCAGCCAUAUCUCUCAAGGAAUUUACCCAAGAGAAAUGAAAGCAAUCAUUUACAAAGAGACUUGUACACAACAUUUCCUAGUGGUUUUAUUUGUAAUAGUCAAAAACUGUAAACAACACAGAUGUCCAACAACAGGUGAGUGCAUAAAAAAUUGCGGUAUAGUCAGACAAUGAGAUAUUACUCGACAAUAAAAUAAGAAUGAACUUUUGUUACAAUUGAAACAUCACUGACUAUUCCCCAAAUGAUUAUUCUGUAUAAAAGAAGUCAGACAAAAAAGGGUCCAUUCUAGGAAUACAUUUGUAUAAAAUUCUAGAAAAAAAACCACUAUAGUGACAGAAAGCAAAUUAGUGACUACCUGGGGGUGGGGCUGGGGAGGGGCAGGAAGGAGGGAUUUCCAAUGGGUGUAAGGAAACUUUGGGGAUUAACAGAUAUAUUCAUUGUCCUGAUUGUGUUGAUAUCCGAAUUUAUCAAAAUAGCUCUUUAAAUAUAUGCAGUUUAUUGUAUGUCAAUUAUACCUCAAUGAAAAUGUAAAAACAGUUUUUAAUCAGUGUUUUUAGACAAUUUGUCUUAACUUCUACUUAUAUGAGAGAGUAUAUUGUAAUAAUAUGCACUGUUUAAAACUCUCUUAAAUUCAAUAGAGAUUCUGUAAUUUCCUCCUAGGGAUUUUGUUUUUUUGUUGUUUAUUUGUUUUGCCUUUUUUGCUUUGCUUUGUUUUAAAGAAUGGGACACAGGUGGUUAGAUUAAAUGUCUCCUUUCUGUUAUUCAUUUUAAAUUUUAUAAUUGUGAUUAACUAAUUGGGCAACGAAUUUUCAUGACUUUGAACUCCCUUGGGUAUGUGGACAUGAGUUUAAACCGAAUUAAUAAAACACUUCAAUGCAUUGGU